rnacentral:misc_RNA from 1 species
GCCUUUGAUUUGUCUCUAAUGGAUUGAUGGAUUUCAUUUUCAAUAUUUUUUUCUGUGCUAGCUGUACUAAUGCAAACAUGGCGUGAAGAUCUAUAAUAAGUUGCUUAAUGGGAUUUGACUGUUCAUGGAAUGUGAGAAAUGAUGAUUAAACAGAGUAGGAAGAAGAUGGUUAAGAGCUGUUAUUAACAGAGUAGGAAGAAGAUGGUUAAGAGCUGUUAUUGCAGCCUCUUUCUGAUCUCAUACAAGCUCAAGUGAAGUUAAAGACUGAUUACAAACCACAACAAACAGAAGGAACAUAAAGUAGUUAUUAUGGAAAAACGUCUCUUUUCAAUGAAGCAGGUCUACAGAACUUGAGAUGGAUUGGUUUGAUGAUUCUGCUCUGAGAUGGGAUGUGUUGCAGGAGACCUCUUUGAGAUCUAUUAAAGCACUGACAGUGAAAGGACUACUAAUUUGGAGGUCAGUAAGCAUUUGUCGAAGAUCAGAAACUUCUUCUUUGAGCCGGGCAUUUUCUUGGAGAACUCGGUCAUGGCACUCGGACACAUGAUUCAACUUGUCUAUCAGAUUAUGGUUCUCAGUUCGAAGACGAACCACCUGAGACCAUAGCUCAUCUAGGUGCUUUUGUUUCCUCAUCCGCGACCUGCGAGCAGACUCCCUAUUGGAAAUCAUUCUCCGCUGCUUCCUUUCGUCAAUGAUGCUGAGUUGGUUUUCAUCAGCUUCAUCAGAAGUUGAGUUGUUGCUGAGACUUGAUGACUGAGGGGCGAAUUCAUGGACAGGUUGAGGGAAGGUAGGGUUGUGAAAGUUGCUUAAGAUUCUGUCAAAAUGGAAGGUUGGUAUGUUGCUCUGCUGUAUCAGGCCAAGGUUAGCUGCGAAUGGAAUUGGGCUUUCAGCUGCCAGAUAGUGAAUACCUGUGAGCUCACCUGGAAGCAUGGCUGAAAUCCUUGAUAUGAUACUUGAAGGAUUUUGUUUUGGAUUCACCUGAUUGUGGUAGGGGAGAAUGGCAAGAGGAGUGGAGGGGUUUUAUAGAGGAAAAAAAAAGGCUAAUGAAGUGGGCCGAUUUCAUCAACAAGAUUAACAGUAUCGGAAAUGCUUACAUGAG